rnacentral:rRNA from 1 species
UAAGACGGGGGGAGCAAGCGUUGUUCGGAUUUACUGGGCGUAAAGGGCGUCUAGGCGGAUCAACAAGUCAGGUGUGAAAUCCCAUGACUCAAUCAUGGAACUGCAUUUGAAACUGUUGGUCUUGAGUACGGAAGAGGAAAGUGGAAUUCCUGGUGUAGCGGUGAAAUGCGUAGAUAUCAGGAAGAACACCGGUGGCGAAGGCGGCUUUCUGGUCCGAUACUGACGCUAAAGCGCGAAAGUGUGGGGAGCAAACAGGAUUAGAUACCCUGGUAGUCCACACUGUAAACGAUGGAUACUAGGUGUCGGGGACCCGACCUCUCCGGUGCCGUAGCUAACGCAUUAAGUAUCCCGCCUGGGGAGUACGAUCGCAAGGUUG